CAAGCGCGGGGCAGGGGGCGGGCCCUCCGUCAGGGGCGGGGAAGGGGCGGAGUGGCCGGGGCACCGGCCCGGGCUGCCCAUUGGGUAGGCCACGCUGAGGGAGCCACGGAGGAGCCAAUCAAGCGCGCCAACGCAAGGUGAAGGGUGGGACCGCCAAGUGGACCGCUCUGGAGGUCAGAGCACUGCGGGGCGCGGCUAGUGGCGGAGCCGGUAGCGCUGAGAAGGCUCUUCCCGCUGUGGCCAGCGGGAGCGCGGGUGUCCUGUGACUCAGUGUCCUUGUUGACAGCUCGCGGGCACCCCAAAAUCUGCCCCGGCCAAGAUGGCGCGUGGAAGACUGGGUCUCACAGGGACCACUCUCUCUUUGUUUCUCCUUGGGAUGCCCUGGGUCCCUCGCUGCCUCUACGCGUGCGGAAAGCCGAACUCUGAGGAGGAAAGUUUCCCGGGCAUGAAGUCCUCGUUUUGUGGGAGUCGGUAGCCGAUGGAUGAGACGGACUCUCAGUCCCUUGGCGCGGUGAGAGGAUGGUACUCGUGCUGAGAUCCUGACCGCCAGAGCUUGGAGGGAGAUGACUUCCUGCAAACCCAGAACUUUUAAAUUAACUUCCGACCCUGAAGGUCACAGGUGUGAGCCACAUGGACCCCCAGUCUCUUCAGCUUCUCUACAGUGAAGUGUCAGUGCACAGUUCCUCUUCAGCGUUGUUUGGCAAUGACAUCAAGGGAAGUGUGUCAAAGACGGUCACAGGAAAGGAAGGCUAAAUUAUUGCAACACAAAUAAAAACCACAGACUAUUGCGUGUGAUCACUGAUGACAAUUGCAAACACAAGUCAUGAGGCCGGCGUUCUGGCAUAGUGAAUAAAGCCUCCGCCUGCAAUGCCAGCAUCCCAUAUGGAUGUCAGUUCGAGUCCUGGCUGUUCUACUUCCGAUCCAGCUCUCUACUAUGGCCUGGAAAAGCAGUGGAAGAUGGCCCAAGUGCUUGGGCCCCUGCACCUGCAUGGGAGAUCCAGAAGAAACUCCUGUCUUCAGAUCAGCUCAACUCUGGCCAUUGUGGCUAUUUGGGGAGUGAACCAGUGGAUGGAAGACAUUUCUCUCUGUCUCUCCUGCUCUCUGUAGCUCUGCCUGUCAAAUGAAUAAAUAAAUCCUUAAAAAUAACAUAAAGUAAAACAAAAGUCAUAUUUACAUCAAUUUUUGUGGCCUAUCCCCACCGCCAGUAAUCUGUUACUAUUAUUGUGACAGGUUUAGUGGGUUGGGUGUUUUAAUUGUUUUGUUUUGGUUGUGUUUUGCUUGUCAAUGAUGUUAUAACUAUUUUUGUCUACAGUUUAUUUAUUCUGAGGACACUACUAAUUCUAGAAGUGCUUCUCAUAUAUAUUGAUGGAUUUCCUUCUUCAGUUUACCUUCAAGAAAUUAUUUAGUAGUCUGAUGCUCCUUGUUUUUCACAUAUGUUAAGUGUUGAGUCAGUAAAUACUUAUUAAGCCCCACUUGUUGCCAGACACUGGGCUAAGUGCUUGAAAUGCAGCAAGAAACAAAGCAGACGUGGUCCCUGUCCUCAUAGAGGUAACUUUAAUUAUAAGAUCUGUUUCCACAUCAUCUUUUUACCGGGACUUUGUUAUUCAAGACUAUAAUCUCAUUUCAUAAGGAUUUAUUCAUAUGAGUGGUCUUCAAAAGAGUUCAUAGAAAAUAUGUGCUAUCGGGAAUGGAGUGUGGCACAAAGGGUUAAGCUGCCACCUGCAACACUGACAUCCCAUAUCAGAGAACGAUGGUUGAAUACUGGCUGCCCAGCUUCCAAUCAAGCUCCCUACUGAUGAUCUGGGAAAGCAGCAGAAGAUGGCCCAACUACUUGGGCACAUGCCGUCCAUGCUGGAGACUUGGAUGGAAUUCCAGGCUGCUGGCUUCAGCCUGGCCUAGCCCCAACAGAUGUGGCCAUCUGGGGAGUGAACCAGUGGAUGAAAGAUCUUUUUAUGUAUCUUUCCAUUCUCUGACACUCCGCCUUUCAAAAAAAUAAAAUAAAUCUUUUUUAAAAAAUUAAAAUAUGUGCUCCAUUUUCCAAGAACUUUUUUAAGUACCCUUCCACAACAGAGUUUCUGUAGUGUGCUCAGCACUGUAUGGUAAGAUGACUGAUAAUAUGAUUGAGAAGGUAUAUAUCGACAGAUAAAUUAAAGAUCUCUGGGUUAAAGUAAUGCAAUGGCCAUGUAACCUGUGCACAGUGAAAAUACAGAAGGCAAUCAACCAUCGCUGAAGAACUUGGGAAAAACAUCCAAGAGAAAAUGAUACUUGAGGUGAAUUUUUGAAGGUCAGUAAUCAGAGAAGAUGGGGAAGGACUUUCUAGAUUGAGAAAAGCACAUUUGGAAAAGUGGGACUGGCAUUGUGUUGCAGAGGAUUAAGUCACCACCUUCGAUGCCAGUGCUCUCCACUUCUGAUCCUGCUCCCUGCUAAUGCACCUGGGAAGGCAGCAGAAGGUGGCCCAAAUGCUUGGGCCCCUGCCGCCCUUAUGGAGUUCCAGGCUCCUCGCUUCAGCCUGACCCAGCCCUGGCUGGUGUAGCCACUUGGGGAGUGAACUAAUGGACAGAAGAUUCUCUCUUCCCCUCUUCCCUUCUUUCUCUGUAACUCUGCCUCUCAAACAAAUAGAUAAAUCUUUUUUUUUUUUUGUAAUGCACUUGAAGAAUUAGUCUUUUUUUUUUUAAUAUUUAUUUAUUUGUUUGAAAGACAGAGAAGCAGAGGCAGAGAGAGAUACCUUCCAUCCUCUGGUUCACUCUCCAAAUGGCCACAGUGGCGGAGCCACGCCAAUCCAAAGUCAGGAACCAAAAGCUUCUUCUGGGUCUUCCACUUAGGUGCAGGGGCCCAAGGACUUGGGCCAUCUUCCACUGUUUUCCCAGGCCAUAGCAGAGAGAUGGAUCAGAAGCAGAGCAGCUGGUACUUGAACUGGCGCCCAUAUGGGAUGCCAACACUGCAGGCAGCAGCUCUACCUGCUAUGCCACAGCACUGGCCCCAAAUAAAUCUUUUAAAAUAAGGAAGGAAGGAUCAAAUGUUCAGUGUGGUAUUCUCUGAGAAGUUCACCGUGGUUCAAGUACAAGGGACCGGAAGAGCCAUAAGAGGCAGGAGUCUCUAAAGUGAGUGAGGGCCGGAUUAUGAAAGGUGCUGCUCUUGACACCUUGGCAUGCUGAAGUCAGCAGACACGUUUUCUGAACUUUGGGCCUUUCAUGAGGAAGAAUGAAAAAUGCUCAAAUAACAGCCUGCACCAGGUACUGUUUCCUGAGGACCAGUUUGCUUGGCACCUAUCCAUGCAGUACUUGUUAUCAUUGCUUUUCUUCAAACCAGAUAGUAUUAGGAAAACUUGAAAUUCUGAAGCUAAAUUUACCUUUGCUGUUACUACAUAAGUGUCCAUUUAAAAUGUCACACAUUCAGUGCUUCUGCCCCAGCAAGGUAAGCUGCCGCUUGUGACACCAGCAUCCCAUGUCAGAGUGCUGAUUGAACUCCCAGCUGCCCCACUUCCCAUCCAGCUCCCUGCUCAUGCACCUGGAAAGGCAGCAAAUCAUAGCCCAAGUGCUUAGGUCCAUGCUACACACCUGUGACAACAGGAUGACGUUCCUGACUCCUGGCUUCAGCCUGGCCCAGCCCUGUGUUGCAGCCAUUUGGGGAGUGAACCAUCGGAUGGAAGAUCUCUCUUUGUGUGUCUCGUUCUCUCUCUGUCUCAUUCUGCCUUUCAAAAAAUUGUUCUAAAAAUAAAAUUAUCAGGGCCAGUGCUCUGGCAUAUUAGGCUAAGCCUCUGCCUGCAGCACCAGCAUCCCAUAUGGGUGCUGGUUUGUGUCCUAGCUGCUCCUCUUCCACUUCCAAUCCAGCUCUCUGCUUAUGACCUGGCAAAGCAGCGCAAGGUGGCCCAAGUACUUGGGUACCUGCACUUGCUGGGGAAACUCAGAAGAAUCUCCUGGCUCCUGGCUUUGGAUCAGCCCAGCUCCAGCUGUUGCGGCCAUUUGGGGAAUGAACCAGCGGAUGGAGGACCUUUCUCUCUGUCUCUCGCUCUGUAACUCUGCCUCUCAAAUAAAUAAAUUUAAAACUUAUAGAAAAAAAUAAUAAAGUAUCAUUCAUUUUCUACAACUAAUCCCUUUAUCUCUGCUCUUAAUACUGGUACUUAUGGGCCGGUGCCGCGGCUAAAUAGGCGAAUCCUCUGCCUGUGGCACCGCACCCCGGGUUCUAGUCCUGGUCAGGGCGCCGGAUUCUGUCCCGGUUGCCCCUCUUCCAGUCCAGCUCUCUGCUGUGGCCUGGGAGUGCAGUGGAGGAUGGCCCAAGUGCUUGUGCCCUGCACCCGCAUGGGACACCAGGAGAAGCACCUGGCUCUUGGCUUCAGAUCAGUGCAGUGCACCGGCUGCAGCACGCCUGCCGCAGCAGCUAUUGGGGGGUGAACAAACAGAAAAAGGAAGACCUUCCUCUCUCUCUCUCUCUCUCUCUCUCACUGUCCACUCUGCCUGUCCAAAAAAUAAAAAAAUACUGGCACUUAUGAUUACUUGUAUUUCUUAUUUGAAAGUAAAACAGAUUGUGAAAUAUUUUGAUGUUGGUUACAAAACAGCAUUUAGGUAGUUCCUUCCUGAUUUUCUCUUUUUAAAAAAUGGAUUUGAAGCUAUCUCACCCUACAUAGAGAAGCAAAAAGCAAGGGGAAAGGGGUUGAAAUAUUGUUGAUCUAAAUAAAGCCAAAAGUAGUUCACUUCUUUUUUAAGAUUUAUUUAUUUUAAAUGCAGAGCUACAGAGAAGGAGAGACGGGGUUCAUCCACUGGUUCACUGUCCAAAUAGCCGCAAUAGCCAGGCUGGACUGGGCUGAAGGCAGGAGCUUCUUCUGGGUCUCCCACAUGGAUGCAGGGGCCCAAGCACUUGGGCCAUCUUCCAUUGCUUUCCCAGGUACAUUAGAAGGGAGCUGGAUCAGAAGUGGAGCAGCCAAGACUGGAACCUGCACCCAUAUGGGAUGCUGGCAUCACAGGCAGUGGCUUAACCUGCUGUGCCAGAACACCAGCCCCUAAUGGUUACUCUUAGGAAGAAAUCAAGUUGCAGCUCCCUGGGAAAGCAGCAGAACAUGGCCCAAGUACUUGGCCUCUGCCAUCCACAUGGAAGACACUGAAGAAGCUCCUGGUCCCUGGCUUCAGCCUGACCCAGCCCUGGCCAUUGUGGCCGUUUGGGGAGUGAACCAGAGGAUAUCUACCUCUCUGCCUCUUCUCUCUCUGUAACUCUGACAUUCAGAUAAAUAAAUAAAUCUUUAAAAAAAAAAUAAGAGAUUAAGUUAAUCCUCAUUCUUGAAAAGGCAAAUCUGAAAGUGAAACCUAUUUGUGGCAUCAAAGUAAGCCUUUCGUUAAUUUCAGAAAGCAUAUUUGUAAAAGAUUGUUUAUUUUAAAGGCAGAGUUACAGAGAAUGAGAGGUCUUCCCUCUGUUUGUUCACUCCUCACAUGGCUGUAACAGCCAGAGCUGGGCUGAUCCAAAGCCAGGAGCCAGGAGCCAGGAGCUUCAUCUGGGUCUACCAUGCAGAUACAGGGGCCCAAGGACUUGAGCCAUCUUCCAUUGCUUUCCCAGGCCAUAGCAGAGAACUGGAUCAGAAGAGGAGCAGCCUGGACUGAACCAGUGCCCAUAUAGGAUGCCGGCACUGCAUACGGCAGCUUUAUCCACACACCACAGCACCAGCCUCAAAAAGCCUAUUUUAAACACUUGCUUUAUGCUAAACUCUAUUUUUAGUCACUAAAAAUAUGAAAUUACUAAAACCAAGUCCCUGCUCCCAAUGGACUUGUUGUCUAGGGAAAUGUCAAAUUGAACCACAUGGAAUUGCAUUGUUUUUGUAGGUCAAGAACGGUCAAAUACCGAUUCAGUCUCAUACAGAGGGAAACAGAAAUGUGCAGUAAUAAAGAUGUGAACAAGGUGUCUGUACACUGACAGUGUUUCACGCUGCCUGGAGCAGUGAGGGCUCGCCAGAGGAAAUGACACUUGAGUUGUUUCAGAAAACGAUUGCGAGUUCACCAUGUGUUCACAAGGAGCAAAGAGAAAAGAAGCAUUCCAGAAAUAGGAAACAGCAUAUGCACUGGUGUUGGAUCAAGAGAGAACCUAACACGUGGGAAAGUGCAAACAGCUCAGAUUCCAAACAGGUGGCAUGCCCGAUAGGUGGGGGUGACAGGACAUGAGGCAGCAAAGAGAGCAUAGGGCAGGCAGUGGAAGAUUGGAUGUGUCAAGGCAAAGAGCUUGAUUUUAUUCUUGAGGUCAAUGACGUGCAGUCUCCCAGGGUUAACGAAGAAAAUAUUACUGCUUCGUGUCUGUUUUAUCUUUGUCUGAACUCCUCAAGAUUUCGAAUUGUGUGUAAAUUAACAAUGUAUUAUUAACAAUGCAAUUCCUAGUGUAGUACUGGGGAUAAAUAAUUUAUAAAUAAAUAUAUAUGCCAUGA